GUGAGUCUCUUUCCUCUUAGAGGAUCUUUGCUGGAGAGCGUGGCUGACUGGCCUGCUACACACCUGCUCUCAAUCAAGGUCAUUCAGGCUGGGGGAGUUGCGAGGAGCUGCAAAGUGACCAUUCCUUGCCUGAUGGUCCAACAUAGUUGAUAUAGUCAAACACUUUGAAGAGAUUUUUUGAAAACGAUUUUCCCCAUUUAUUCUCUCUCAUGCUCUCUGCUUGGAGUCACCUACUGAAUCUUUCCUAGCCACCCUGCUGAAACAUUUCCGUCUAGAUUCUUCCACGGUCGUCCACUGCAGCUCUUACCUUGGUGUGUCUCUGCCUAACCCGCUCUCUAGCCCUCUGCCCAUCCCCUCAAUGCAAUGAAGAGCUUACACAUUCAGCCAUCUUCAACACCAACUCAGAGACCUGACUCACCUUGCAAACCCAUUCCACGGAUAAAACCACCAAGAUCCUCACUUCACCCUCAAAACCUCACACCAGUUCUACAAUGCAUGCAGCCCUGACCAGUCUCUGAGCCCACCUCCUUCUGUGCAUCAAGAUCCUAGUAUUGUUGAAAAUAAACUGUUCUUAAUUUAA